rnacentral:rRNA from 1 species
CCAGACUCCUACGGGAGGCAGCAGUGGGGAAUAUUGGACAAUUGGGGGAACCCUGAUCCAGCGACGCCGCGUGAGUGAAGAAGUAUUUCGGUAUGUAAAGCUCUAUCAGCAGGGAAGAAAGAAAUGACGGUACCUGACUAAGAAGCCCCGGCUAACUACGUGCCAGCAGCCGCGGUAAUACGUAGGGGGCAAGCGUUAUCCGGAUUUACUGGGUGUAAAGGGAGCGUAGACGGCGAUGCAAGUCUGAAGUGAAAGGCGGGGGCCCAACCCCCGGACUGCUUUGGAAACUGUAUGGCUGGAGUGCAGGAGAGGUAAGUGGAAUUCCUAGUGUAGCGGUGAAAUGCGUAGAUAUUAGGAGGAACACCAGUGGCGAAGGCGGCUUACUGGACUGUAACUGACGUUGAGGCUCGAAAGCGUGGGGGGCAAACAGGAUUAGAUACCCCAGUA